AUAUGGUAUUUACAAUGGAAAAUUGUAACAUACAUCACAUACAGAAUGCACUACACAUAAUUCUGUUUUAGCACACUAGUAUGAGAGAAGUCUGCUAUUAUCCACAGUACUUUGUUAUUAUUAUGCUCGUAGCAUGUUAUAACACAAAAAUGUUGCUUCAGAUAAUUGAACUGAACUUCUACUUUUUACUGAUAUGGAAAAAUGCAGUUGAGAGGAUUUAUGACUAAAAGGAAAAUUUAGCUCCUUGGGCACAACUGAUGAGGUAUCUUCUUGAUGUGUCAUCUUCAAGGGCAAGACACUAUGAGAAAGUAGUAGUAACUGAAGUAACUACAGAAAAUGACAAUUUCAGUGAACCUGAAAAUCUGCCUUAUGGGGCUUGCAUGUGAUAUAAUACAAAUCUACCUACAUGAGCUAUAAUCCUUGUGAGGAUAUUCAUUGAUGGAGUAGAAGGAGUUGGCCAACAGGAAGUUCUGUAAUUCACUCUGAAAUCAAUCUUUAUCACUUACAAGACCUUCGAUAUGCUCUGGUACAUAACAGAUUGCAAGACGAAGCAAGGACUGGAGUGAAAUUCAGGAAGACCUGCGGGGGACUUGCACUUGGUGCAAGGAGUAGCAAUUUACCCUAAACAUAAGCAAAUUUAAUGUAUUGUGUAUAUGUAGAUAGAAAGACAUAUUAGUCCAUGACUAUAGGAUAGCAAAAUGCUUGC